GACAGAGGGGGCAGCGUUGCUCGGAAUCACUGGGCGUAAAGGGCGCGUAGGCGGGAUGGCAAGUCGGUCGUGAAAUCCUUCGGCUCAACCGAAGAACGUCGGCCGAUACUGCCGUGCUUGAGGACUGGAGAGGAGACUGGAAUUUACGGUGUAGCGGUGAAAUGCGUAGAUAUCGUAAGGAAGACCAGUGGCGAAGGCGGGUCUCUGGACAGUUCCUGACGCUGAGGCACGAAGGUCAGGGGGAGCAAACGGG
rnacentral:rRNA from 1 species